UGAUCUGCUCCCCGCCCCGCUCGUCCCGCCGGUCGCCGGCCCCGAUCCAUGCCGGAUCCCGCCGCCGGCGAGCUGCCGAAGCCGUCGCCCCUAGCCCAGCCUCCUCCGGAGCUCCGCCCAGAUCCGGAGCGCCGCCCCCGCGAGCAGCCACGCUGCCCUGCCUCCAGCGCCUCCCUGCUCUCCCUGCCUCUCCUUGUGCCGCCGCCUCGCGCCGCCGCAGCUCGCGCCAGCAGCCGCCCCCGCCGCGCGCCUCGCCUGCCAGUCCCUCCGGGCGCUGUAGCCGCCUGCUCGACAAGCACCUCCGCCCCGUCGCGCCCUGGAUCGGAUCUAGAUCGACCUGCCGCCGCCCUGGCGUUGACCGCCUCUGUUUUGUGCCUGUGCCAUGCGGCUGUAGGUCCUCCCAGCUAAGCAUUCGGCUCGAUUCGGUCCGUGUCCAUGUCCGUGACGGCAGCCGGCGUUUGGUUUCCCCGGCAGUGCAAGGACGGGCACGUGGCCUGCGGCCGCUGCCUCGCGGAGCCCUGCGCGGAGUACGGCGUCCCCUUCGACGCCCACAACGCGGCGAUGGACGCCGUCGUCUCCUCGACCACGGCCGAUUGCGACCACGCCGGCUGCAGGCGCUACGUCACCUACCACGACCUCGCCGGCCACCGCGGCGAGUGCCCGCACGCGCCCUGCGCAUGCACGGUCCCCGGCUGCGCCUUCGCCGGCCUGGCGCCGGCGCUCCUCGGCCACCUGACCACCCCUUCACUCGAUGCCCGUGCAUAGGGUCCAGUACGGCAAGGUCCUCGUGCUCCAGGUGCCGGCGACGCUGGAGCCGCGGGGCCUGCUGCUCGGGGACGAGGACGGUCGCACGUUCCUCAUCGUCGGCGGCACGCUCGGCGCCGGCGCAGUUGUGUCGACGGUGUGCGUCAGGGCGGAGGCGGUGGUGUGGCCGCGGUACACGCUCAAGGUGUGGGCGAGCGGGCCGGCGCCGGCGCCGAACCGGAAGGGUAAGGCCGACACCGUCAUGGCGGAGAUCGAGGUGACGAGCAGCACGGCGCCAGGCGCCGUCGCCGUCGAGGAGCUGGCGUACCUGGCGGUGCCGCCCAAGUUGCUGGUUGGGGCAGGGGCGUCCCGCCGGAUGUCUCUCAAGAUUCGCAUAGACAAGUUCACCUCCUGAUGACGCUUAGUCCGCUAGUACUUUUUACUAAUGCAAGGGUUUAGGUUAGUUUGGAAAGGGUCUCGUGCAUUGCAAUUUGAAGAUGAUGAAAUUUGGUUGCAGUUCAGUAUAGUACAGUAGUACUUCAACAUCAGACCAGGUGCUUUGCAAAUUUCUAACGGUGAAAACUGUUUCGUGGCCGUUGGAUUCGA